rnacentral:misc_RNA from 1 species
CCGAGCUCGCGCCCCACCCGGGCCGACCUCCCCCCCGUGUGUAUUCUUACCCCUGUUGCUUUGGCGAGCCGCCCCCCUGAGGGGCCUUGCGCGCUCGUCGAAGGCCCUCAAAACCCUGUUCGUCAGUGUCGCCUGAGCGUGAUAUAAUAGUUA